AUGGAAGGGUGAAAAUGUGAGGUAAGAGCUCACAGCUUGUAAUGGUAACAUUAUUCGCGGGUAAACCUUGCAUGCUGAAAUGCCACAUAAACUAUCGGUAAGGGCUGCUCGCCCGGUUUAUCGAAAGAUAAAGCGAUAGAGGGUAGGCAGAUUGAUCCCAACAGUAAUGUUGAGGACAGAUAAAUGAUAGCCCACGACAGAAUCCGGCUUAUACGCCUGUAGCUUUU
rnacentral:RNase_P_RNA from 1 species